CGCAAGCCUGACGGAGCAAGACCGCGUGCGGGAUGACGGCCUAAUGGUUGUAAACCGCUUUUCUCUGGGAAGACGAUGACGGUACCAGAGGAAUCAGCCUCGGCUAACUCCGUGCCAGCAGCCGCGGUAAUACGGAGGAGGCAAGCGUUAUCCGGAAUUAUUGGGCGUAAAGCGUCCGUAGGUGGUUAUUCAAGUCUGCUGUCAAAGCGUGGGGCUUAACUCCAUAGAGGCAGUGGAAACUGGAUGGCUUGAGUGCGGUAGGGGUCGAGGGAAUUCCCAGUGUGGCGGUGAAAUGCGUAGAUAUUGGGAAGAACACCGGUGGCGAAAGCGCUCUACUGGGUCGCACCUGACCCUCAGGGACGAAAGCUAAGGUAGCG
rnacentral:rRNA from 1 species